UGACCUUCUGUGGCCACGAGGGGGGAAAAUCGCUGUCACGUCAAAAUGAAGUGCCGUCCAGCUCUUGGAUACCAGAUGUUAGUGGACCAACAGGAAAUGAUCUUUGAUAAGAAGCGAGCAGAGAUGCCACUGCUUUGCCUCCAUGCUGCUGAAGACACCUGAUCUCAAGCGAAUGCAGUUCACAUAAUGAUGCCAAAGGUUCCACUUAGAUGGUGCACAUAGAUGUGGAGCAGCAGCAGUUUGGCUUUGGGAAGAUGGAUACCCAGGGUGCCCCAGUAUUGCAGAUGUUAUUAUUGCCAAAGCAGCUCUCCAUCACCAUCUAACUCCAUCUUGUCAGUUUGCCCAAUUCGUGUAGCUGCUCCUCCAUGUUUUGGUUUUCAGUUUCAGCAUUUCAUUCCGCUUAGUGGCUCUGCUGCAGCCUAGCCCAGCUGUCAGAAGCAGGGUACACCCUGGACAGGUCACCAACCUGUCACAGAGAGACAGACAACUAUUCACACCUAUGGGCAAUUUAGAAUCACCAAUUAACCUAACCCCACUGACUGCAUGUGUCUGGACUGUGGGAGGAAAGCGGAGUACCUGGAGAAAACCCACACAGAAAGGCCCCGGCCAAGGUGGAGUCAAACCUGGGAACUGCUGUGAGCUAACAGUGUUAACCAGCACGCCACCGUGCUGUUCCACCAAAUUUAAAAGCUUAAAACAUCUAAUGGGAGCUUUUACUUGACUACUUAGGUGGUAUAUGAGUUGAGAUGGCUCAAUUUUAUUAA